rnacentral:RNase_P_RNA from 1 species
GCCAGGUAACGCCUGGGGGGGAAACCCACGACCAGUGCAACAGAGAGCAAACCGCCGAUGGCCCGCGCAAGCGGGAUCAGGUAAGGGUGAAAGGGUGCGGUAAGAGCGCACCGCGCGGCUGGUAACAGUCCGUGGCACGGUAAACUCCACCCGGAGCAAGGCCAAAUAGGGGUUCAUAAGGUACGGCCCGUACUGAACCCGGGUAGGCUGCUUGAGCCAGUGAGCGAUUGCUGGC